GUGCCAGCCGCGGCGGUAAUACAUAGGUGGCAAGCGUUAUCCGGAUUUAUUGGGCGUAUAGGGUGCGUAGGCGGUUUUGCAAGUUUGUGGUCAAAUCCCGAGGCUCAACCUCGGUUCGCCAUGAAAACUGCAUCACUAGAAUACAAGAGAGGUAAACGGAAUUCCAUGUGUAGCGGUGAAACGCGUAGAUAUAUGGAAGAACACCUGUGGCGAAAGCGGUUUUACUGGCUUGUUAUUGACGCUGAGGCACGAAAGCGUGGGGAGCAAAUAGGAUUAGAUACCCUAGUAGUCCACGCCGUAAACGUUGAGUACUAAGUGUCGGGAAUUAUCUCGGUGCUGCAGCUAACGCGUUAAGUACUCCGCCUGAGUAGUAUGCUCGCAGGAGUGAAACUCAAAGGAAUUGACGGGGACCCGCACAAGUGGUGGAGCAUGUGGUUUAAUUCGAAGCAACACGAGGAACCUUACCAGGGCUUGACAUCCAGUGCAAAGCUAUAGAGAUAUAGUGGAGGUUAACAUUGAGACAGGUGG
rnacentral:rRNA from 1 species